UACGUAGAGUGCAAGCGUUAAUCGGAAUUACUGGGCGUAAAGCGUGCGCAGGCGGUGAUGUAAGACAGAUGUGAAAUCCCCGGGCUCAACCUGGGAACUGCAUUUGUGACUGCAUCGCUGGAGUGCGGCAGAGGGGGAUGGAAUUCCGCGUGUAGCAGUGAAAUGCGUAGAUAUGCGGAGGAACACCGAUGGCGAAGGCAAUCCCCUGGGCCUGCACUGACGCUCAUGCACGAAAGCGUGGGGAGCAAACAGG
rnacentral:rRNA from 1 species